rnacentral:rRNA from 1 species
UACGAAGGGGGGCUAGCGUUGUUCGGAUUUACUGGGCGUAAAGCGCACGUAGGCGGAUCGAUCAGUCAGGGGGUGAAAUCCCAGAGCUCAACUCUGGAACUGCCUUUUGAUACUGUCGAUCUGGAGUAUGGAAGAGGUGAGUGGAAUUCCGAGUGUAGAGGUGAAAAUUCGUAGAUAUUCGGAGGAACACCAGUGGCGAAGGCGGCUCACUGGUCCAUUACUGACGCUUGAGGGUGCGAAAAAGC